UACCAGCACCCCGAGUGGUCGGGACGAUUAUUGGGCCUAAAGCAUCCGUAGCCGGUUUUACAAGUCCCCCGUUAAAUCCAGCUGCUUAACAGACGGGCUGCGGAGGAUACUAUAAGACUAGGAGGCAGGAGAGGCAAGCGGUACUCAGUGGGUAGGGGUAAAAUCCGUUGAUCCAUUGAAGACCACCAGUGGCGAAGGCGGCUUGCCAGAAUGCGCUCGACGGUGAGGGAUGAAAGCUGGGGGAGCAAACCGG
rnacentral:rRNA from 1 species